CCCUGCCUGGUGCACUAACCUAACACUCAGUGUAAACAAGCACGGAAUAUGUAAGCAGAUGAAAAAAGGCCAUUAAUUAACCCCGCAUUCAUCAUUCACGGAAAAAUCUCUAAAAUGAUCCCUAAGGGCCAGCCGUACACGCCACAUCAGACGCUAGUACUGGCGGUCAGACAUCUCGACUGCAUUGUCACCGCUUUUAUCCAAUCACUAUGCGUUGAUUGACUGUAUCAGCUAAUCCUAUCACAAUGGACUUUUCUCCAGCUCUGGAAAUGGGAAAGGACGGAGCGGGAUUACGUCACGACUCUGCCUGCACUCUGCUAUCAAACCUUACAUUCCCGGCUUCAGGAGAAAACACGACAAAAAUUCACCUUCAGGAGAACUCAGGACACACAAGUCGCGCUUCAGUAGAACCCAAAAUACUAGUCCGGCUUCAGGAAAACUGAAUAUCCAGAGGGGGGCGGGGGUUCUUGCUAGAGUGUAAGAUCUCACAUAAUUUUCUGGAUACAAGUUCUCUUUGUAAGUACCAACUGCUUUUUUUUUCCCUGUAGUUUUAUUCUAGUGUUCAUCUGAGCGUUUAUUCAUUUCCGUAAAUGUAUCUAGAGUGCAAGGGAUAAUUAACAACUAUAUUAGCA